GAUCAAGGGCACUAGAGCACAGAGGACUGGACUCAGAAGGGCCCAGGGUCUAAUAUCUUAAUUUUCCAUAGGAAGAAAAGGGUGCAUAGUUAAAAGUGUGCAUUUUAGAAUCAAGGCAAGAGUGGAUGCCUUGAAACUCCCUUCUAAAACACGCACAAAAGGAGCUCUGAUGGGAAAAAUCGCCCCUUCCCACCCUGCUUCCCCUGAAAACCAGAAGGCCGGAGGCACCAAUGCCAAAUGUUUCUAACUUUUGCAAUUCUGCUAAGGUCCGAGUUGUCAGACGCACAAGAAGUCCUGGCCUCCAAGACACACAGCAGCCUGUGGCUCUCUCACACAGGUGCCAUCUCCAUCUUGCCCCGCAAACACCUCUGCUCUCAAGGGCAUCUCCGGAGAGGGACACAGGCAGAGAGAGCGGCCCUUCUGACUCACCCACAGUCCCCAGCGAAAGUGUACAUAAGCUGAAUUGUAAACAGCUGAAUGCUCUCCAAGCGGCCACCCCCAGCUCUGGAGGAAGAAAUCAAUGGAGCGAACAGCCGCCCUGCCCGCGUGGCUCCGGCCGCCGGGAGCUGGGAGGCUGGAGGGGGAGGGAUUUCCAACAGCUGCAGGCACUGCUUCCCGGCCGGCCGUGGGCCGAGGACCUGGUCACUGUGAUAGCUCACUCCAACUGCGGGAGCCACAGAGACUUCGAAAAGAGCUCUACGCGCUGGAGCCAGGCCCACGAUAACCAGUGCCAAGGUCGAGGGCUCCCAGAUAUCCCGACGUCACAGUUCUCCAGCAGACGCUGUGAUGGCAAAAACCAAUGGGAGAGGCUCCCCACUAGACAUGAAGAUGGCAGGAGAGAGGACGAAUGCCAGAGCGGCAAGAGCACUGGCUCUGGGGCAGACCUGGUUCCACCCUGGAUUACCUGUGCAGCUGCAAGCACACGUACCUGCUGUGCAGCUUAGUUUCUCUAUUCAUAAAAAUGAUGAUCACGUGGUUCAUCUGGCAGGGGUACAGUGAGUAUUAGAGUUUGCACAUGUAAAAUGUCUGGCACACAUUUAGAAGCUAUGCUACAGAGCAGUUAAGACUUUGGGAUCAGAAGGACCCUAUGCUUUAAUACUAGUUUGAUUUUCCAGGCAAGUUACUCUAGGCCUCAGUUUCCUUAUCUGUAAAACGGGGUUCUUAUCUCUGUCUCAUAUGGCUAUGGUAAGGAUUAGAUAAGAUAAUUCAGGUAACACAGUAGAAGAGGCCUGCCAUGGCCACUGAAGGGCUCACAUCACUGAGACUUCAGAGGUUAGAAAACUGCUCUAGUCUCACUCCCACUAAGUCUAGCCUCUUUCAGCCUCAGAGCAGAGCUGUUCUUUCACUGGCCCAAACUCAUGUAUCACUCAUGUUCCUCAGAUGCUCUGGUCCAACUCAAGAGCAUCCUGUCCUUGAACUCCUGAGGUGAGGCUUCGGGAAGAAAUCUUACUUCCACCUUGACGAUGACUGCAGCACAGGGGAAACGCAGCUGCCCUUCAGGGCAGAUCACGCAUCUCAAUUCACCUUCAACAGUCACUCAUCCAAAGGAUGAGACAACUGUCUGAUUCCCUUCCCAUUCAUUUCUUUUAUAGAGUCCUAGGAUAUCACAGAAAAACCCCAGGAACCAGACAAGAGAACUUAGGAAAAAAAAUAAAGAUCCACUUUUCCCAGUGGUUCUUGUAAUGCCAGGAGGUGGUUUAACCUAGGAAAAGAAAUGGGUUUAAAGGGCUGAAAACGAAAUCAUGGAAGAUGGAUUUCUAGCCGUUAAAAAAAAAAACCUAGAUGUUUAGAAAACUCCCUAAUUAUUUCCAGGCUGUUAACAAGGAAAGGCCACCAUUUUACCUGAUAUGAUGCCCUAUUUAUUUACCAACUGCAGUAGCAUAAUAUUUUUAGAUAAAUUGGGGGGAUUGGGGGGCGGGGAGAGAAAGAGCCUGAGCGCUCUAGAGAAAGCUAAGCCUCUGUUGCUUUGUCCGUAUAAGACAUAUAAUACUUAUCACAAUAAUUUCUGCUCUUAGAAUACACAGUCCCCUUUCUUCAGUAACCGCUGUCUCCAAUCACCCUACUUUGCUGUCAAUCAGCUGAUAGAAGAGAUUAAUACUGAUUACUGGAGGCAUGAGAAUGUGGAUUUAAUUGAUU